GCAUUUAUUAGAUAAAAAAUCAAUACAUGCUUUUAAAGUAUGGAAUUUGGUGAAUUACAAUAACUCAGCAAAUCGCAUAGUGAAAACCGGCGAUAAAUCAUUCAAGUUUCUGACCUAUCAGCUUUCGACGGUAUGGUAUUGGCUUACCGUGGCAGUGACGGUUAACGGGGGAUUAGGGUUCGAUUCCGGAGAGGGAGCCUGAGAAACGGCUACCACAUCUAAGGAAGGCAGCAGGCGCGCAAAUUACCCAAUUCUAACAGCAUAAGAGAGGUAGUGACAAGAAAUAACAAUACAAGGCAGUUAAAAUGCUUUGUAAUUGGAAUGAUAGAAAUUUAAAAACUUUUUAAAGUAUCAAUUGGAGGGCAAGUCUGGUGCCAGCAGCCGCGGUAAUUCCAGCUCCAAUAGCGUAUAUUAAAAUUGUUGCAGUUAAAAAGCUCGUAGUUGAAUUUCUGCUAAAAAUAACCGGUCUGCUUUUAAUAAAGGUGGUAUCUUGGUGUGUUUUUAGCAAUAAUGUC
rnacentral:rRNA from 1 species